rnacentral:rRNA from 1 species
GCAGUGGGAGCACCCUUUGGGUGUGACUGCGUACCUUUUGUAUAAUGGGUCAGCGACUUAUAUUCUGUAGCAAGGUUAACCGAAUAGGGGAGCCGGAGGGAAACCGAGUCUUAAUUGGGCGUUAAGUUGCAGGGUAUAGACCCGAAACCCGGUGAUCUAGCCAUGGGCAGGUUGAAGGUUGGGUAACACUAACUGGAGGACCGAACCGACUAAUGUUGAAAAAUUAGCGGAUGACCUGUGGCUGGGGGUGAAAGGCCAAUCAAACCGGGAGAUAGCUGGUUCUCCCCGAAAGCUAUUUAGGUAGCGCCUCGUGAAUUCAUCUCCGGGGGUAGAGCACUGUUUCGGCUAGGGGGCCAUCCCGGCUUACCAACCCGAUGCAAACUGCGAAUACCGGAGAAUGUUAUCACGGGAGACACACGGCGGGUGCUAACGUCCGUCGUGAAGAGGGAAACAACCCAGACCGCCAGCUAAGGUCCCAAAGUCAUGGUUAAGUGGGAAACGAUGUGGGAAGGCCCAGACAGCCAGGAUGUUGGCUUAGAAGCAGCCAUCAUUUAAAGAAAGCGUAAUAGCUCACUGGUCGAGUCGGCCUGCGCGGAAGAUGUAACGGGGCUAAACCAUGCACCGAAGCUGCGGCAGCGACACUGUGUGUUGUUGGGUAGGGGAGCGUUCUGUAAGCCUGUGAAGGUGUGUCGUGAGGCAUGCUGGAGGUAUCAGAAGUGCGAAUGCUGACAUAAGUAACGAUAAAGCGGGUGAAAAGCCCGCUCGCCGGAAGACCAAGGGUUCCUGUCCAACGUUAAUCGGGGCAGGGUGAGUCGACCCCUAAGGCGAGGCCGAAAGGCGUAGUCGAUGGGAAACGGGUUAAUAUUCCCGUACUUGGUGUUACUGCGAAGGGGGGACGGAGAAGGCUAUGUUGGCCGGG